rnacentral:rRNA from 1 species
AGACGUCUACAUUAGAUACCCGUGUAGUCCCAGCCGUAAACUAUGCGCGUUAGGUGUAUCGGUGACCACGAGUUACCGAGGUGCCGAAGGGAAACCGUGAAACGUGCCGCCUGGGAAGUACGGUCGCAAGGCUGAAACUUAAAGGAAUUGGCGGGGAGCACCACAACGGGUGGAGCCUGCGGUUUAAUUGGACUCAACGCCGGGAAGAUCACCGGAUAAGACAGCGGAAUGAUUGCCGGGCUGAAGACUCUGCAUGACUAGCUG